rnacentral:rRNA from 1 species
GAGCGCAACCCUUGCCUUUAGUUGCCAGCAGUUCGGCUGGGCACUCUAAAGGGACUGCCGGUGUUAAACCGGAGGAAGGUGGGGAGUGACGUCAAGUCCUCAUGGCCUUUAUGACCAGGGCUACACACGUACUACAAUGGCCGAUACAAAGGGCAGCGACACUGCGAGGUGAAGCCAAUCCCGUAAAAUCGGUCUCAGUCCGGAUUGGAGUCUGCAACUCGACUCCAUGAAGUUGGAAUCGCUAGUAAUCGUGGAUCAGCAUGCCACGGUGAAUACGUUCCCGGGCCUU